AAUCUGUGCAGCCAAUAUGACGGUGUAUGGCCGAAAUAGUCAAUUCAAACCAUGUAAAGAUGUCGCAGAACUCCAUCCACCGGUGGCAGCACUGAGCUCUCUGCUGUGGAGCAGCACACCAGUCGACGUUUAAGUCCGACAACGUCCGAGGUCUUGGAGAAAUCCAUGCUGGACCAUGAAACAC